rnacentral:lncRNA from 1 species
CAUCAUGUCUAAGUCGGAGUCUCUGAAAGAGCCCGAAUAACUGGAAGGUCUUCAUUGGAGGGUUGAGGUUUGAAACAACCCAUGAGAGUCUGAAGAGCCAUUGUGAGCAAUUGGGAGCACUCAUGGACUGUGUGGUAAUGAGAUAUCCAAACACCAAUUGCUCCAGGGCCUUUGGGUUUGUCACAUAUGCCACUGUGGAGGAGGUGGAUGCAGCCCUAAAUGCCAUGCUACAUGAGGUAUGAGAGAGUCGUGGAACCAAAGACAGUUGUCUCAAGAGGAGAUUCUCAAAGACUAGUUGCCUACUUAACUGUGAAAAAGAUAUUUGUUGAUGGCAAAAAAAAAAAAAGAACAUCACCUAAGACAUUACUUUGAAGAAUGUGGGAAAAUUGAAGUGACUGAAAUCAUGAAUGACCGAGGCAGUGGCAAGCAAAGGGAUUUUGCCUUUGUAACUCUUAAGGACCAUGACUCUAUGAAUAAGAUUGAAGUACCAUAUUGUGAAUGGCCACAACUGUGAAGUUAGGAAACUUCAAAGAGUGUUCAGUAAAUUCAUCCCUGUCAAAGCAAGAGAAGGCUAGUGCUUCAUUGAGCCAAAGAAGCCAAAGUAGUUCUGGAUGCUUUGGUGGUGGUUGUGGAGGUGGUUUUGGUAUGAACUAUGAUUGUGGAGGAAUCUUCAGUGGUCGUAGUAGCUUUGGUGGCAGCCGUGGUGGUUGUGGAUAUGGUGGCAGUGGGAUGGCUAUAAUGGAUUUGUAAAUGAUGGAAGCAGUUUUAGAGGUGAAGGAAGCUACAGUGAUUUUGGCAGCUACAACAAUCAGUCUUCAAAUUUUGGACCCAUGAGGAGAGAAACCUUAGGAGGCAGAAGCUCCAGCCCCUCUGGUGAUGAAGGACAAUCCUUUGCCAAACCAUGAAACCAAGGAGGCUCUCGUGGUUCCAGUAGCAGCAUUAGCCAUGGCAGUGGCAAAAAUUCUAA